CUUGUCUUGGUCAUUUCUCUUGUGCAGAAAACGUGUGUAGUCUCUGUAGCAUCUAAAAUGGUACUUUGCUUCUACGGCAACCAGAUCCACCCCACGUAUGUGGAUGAGCAGGUUAUCAUCUUUGCGGGCCUCUGCUGCAUCACACAGCCUACCAGCUGUCAAUGUUUCACAAGAUGUGAGCCUCUGCUUGACCUUCUUCCAAUAUUGAUCUCGUCUGCAUAUUAUGCACAAGACUGGAAGGAGAUGGGAUUUUUUUUGUUAGUGGUAGUGGUCGUUGCUGAGCGGAGGAGUCUACUCUUUGGUAGUCCUGUAUCAUGCUCAAUGCUCAACCUUGGACGACACUACAGAUAUCUUCUAGGCCUAAUCUAACCUAGCCUGAGGGGUCUAUCGUAAUCUUGCAAGAUCAAAGAUUGAGCUGGACACCCCUGCACUGUAGUUACACAUCACAAAAUCAACAUUCUGUUGAUUCCUGUCUAUUCCAGGCUAGAUAUGACCUUGACUCAUACAUGCUGUGCCCAUGUUACAGGAUUAAGAUGCUGUGUCCAUGUUACAAGACUAAUACACAUCUCUCACACCCAUAUUGAUAGCUUUCUCCUGAAGAGAAAAACCUGGGCAAAUUUUACACCCAGUCCAGUAAAAUAAAAUACAGUAAUCAUGUGUCAAAUUUUU